rnacentral:rRNA from 1 species
UACGUAGGGGGCAAGCGUUGUCCGGAUUUAUUGGGCGUAAAGCGCUCGCAGGUGGUGCGUCACGUCGUGCGUGAAAGCCCCCGGCUCAACUGGGGAACGGCGCGGGAAACUAUCGGGCUUGAGUUCGGGAGAGGGAAGCGGAAUUCCGGGUGUAGCGGUGAAAUGCGUAGAUAUCGGAAGGAACACCUGUGGCGAAAGCGGCUCACUGGACCAUAACUGACGCUGAGGCGCGAAAGCUAGGGGAGCAAACAGG